rnacentral:rRNA from 1 species
AGUGAACGCUGGCGGUAGGCCUAACACAUGCAAGUCGAACGGCAGCACAGUAAGAGCUUGCUCUUACGGGUGGCGAGUGGCGGACGGGUGAGGAAUACAUCGGAAUCUACUUUUUCGUGGGGGAUAACGUAGGGAAACUUACGCUAAUACCGCAUACGACCUACGGGUGAAAGCAGGGGAUCUUCGGACCUUGCGCGAUUGAAUGAGCCGAUGUCGGAUUAGCUAGUUGGCGGGGUAAAGGCCCACCAAGGCGACGAUCCGUAGCUGGUCUGAGAGGAUGAUCAGCCACACUGGAACUGAGAAACGGUCCAGACUCCUACGGGAGGCAGCAGUGGGGACUAUUGGACAAUGGGGGAAAGCCUGAUCCAGCCAUACCGCGUGGGUGCAGAAGGCCUUCGGGUUGUAAAGCCAUUUUGUUGGGAAAGAAAAGCAGCAGGUUAAUACCCCGCUGUUCUGACGGUACCCAAAGAAUAAGCACCGGCUAACUUCGUG